rnacentral:rRNA from 1 species
UACGUAGGGUGCGAGCGUUAAUCGGAAUUACUGGGCGUAAAGCGUGCGCAGGCGGCUUUGCAAGACAGAUGUGAAAUCCCCGGGCUCAACCUGGGAACUGCAUUUGUGACUGCAAGGCUAGAGUACGGCAGAGGGGGAUGGAAUUCCGCGUGUAGCAGUGAAAUGCGUAGAUAUGCGGAGGAACACCAGUGGCGAAGGCAAUCCCCUGGGCCUGUACUGACGCUCAUGCACGAAAGCGUGGGGAGCAAACAGG